GACAGAGGGGCAAGCGUUGCUCGGAAUCACUGGGCGUAAAGGGCGCGUAGGCGGGAUGGCAAGUCAGUCGUGAAAUCUCUCGGCUCAACCGAGAAACGUCGGCUGAUACUGCCGUUCUUGAGGGAUGCAGAGGAGACUGGAAUUCCCGGUGUAGCGGUGAAAUGUGUAGAGAUCGGGAGGAACACCGGUGGCGAAGGCGGGUCUCUGGGCAUUCCUGACGCUGAGGCGCGAAAGCGUGGGGAGCAAACAGG
rnacentral:rRNA from 1 species